UGGGGAAUAUUGCACAAUGGGGGAAACCCUGAUGCAGCGACGCCGCGUGAGCGAAGAAGGCUUUCGAAUCGUAAAGCUCUGUCCUAUGAGAAGAUAAUGACGGUAUCAUAGGAGGAAGCCCCGGCUAAAUACGUGCCAGCAGCCGCGGUAAUACGUAUGGGGCGAGCGUUGUCCGGAAUUAUUGGGCGUAAAGGGUACGUAGGCGGUCUAUUAAGUCAGGUGUGAAAGCGUGAGGCUUAACCUCAUUAAGCACUUGAAACUGAUAGACUUGAGUGAAGGGGAGGAAAGUGGAAUUCCUAGUGUAGCGGUGAAAUGCGUGGGUAUUAGGAGGAAUACCGAUGGCGAAGGCGACUUUCUGGACUUUAACUGACGCUCAGGUACGAAAGCGUGGGGAGCAAACAGG
rnacentral:rRNA from 1 species